GUGUGUGUGUGUGUGGAUGGUUUUCAGCACCAAGGACAGGCAUGUAUGACUGUGUGUGGAUGGUGUUCAGCACCAAGGACAGGCAUGUUUGAAA
rnacentral:pre_miRNA from 1 species